AGUGAACGCUGGCGGUAGGCCUAACACAUGCGAGUCGAACGGCAGCACAGUAAGAGCUUGCUCUUACGGGUGGCGAGUGGCGGACGGGUGAGGAAUACAUCGGAAUCUACUUUUUCGUGGGGGAUAACGUAGGGAAACUUACGCUAAUACCGCAUACGACCUACGGGUGAAAGCAGGGGAUCUUCGGACCUUGCGCGAUUGAAUGAGCCGAUGUCGGAUUAGCUAGUUGGCGGGGUAAAGGCCCACCAAGGCGACGAUCCGUAGCUGGUCUGAGAGGAUGAUCAGCCACACUGGAACUGAGGCACGGUCCAGACUCCUACGGGAGGCAGCAGUGGGGAAUAUUGGACAAUGGGCGCAAGCCUGAUCCAGCCAUAUCGCGUGGGUGAAGAAGGCCUUCGGGUUGUAAAGCCCUUUUGUUGGGAAAGAAAAGCAGCAGGUUAAUACCCCGCUGUUCUGACGGUACCCAAAGAAUAAGCACCGGCUAACUUCGUG
rnacentral:rRNA from 1 species